GGCCAUAUCACGUUGAAACAGCGGUUCUCGUACGAUCACUGAAGUUAACCAACAUCGAAUCUAGUCAGUAUCGAGAUGGGUGACCGUUUGGGAAUACCAUGAGCUGUAAG